GAGCUGUGGAUAGGGGUGAAAGGCUAAUCAAACUCGGUGAUAGCUGGUUCUCCCCGAAAGCUAUUUAGGUAGCGCCUCGGACGAAUACCCACGGGGGGUAGAGCACUGUUUCGGCUAGCGGGUCAUCUCGACUUAGCAACCCGAUGCAAAACUCCGAAUACCGUGGAGUACUAUCCGGGAGACAGACGGUGGGUGCUAAUGUCCAUCGUCAAGAGGGGAAACAACCCCAGACCGCCAGCUAAGGUCCCCAAAUUACAGUUAAGUGGGAAACGAUGUGGGAAGGCAUAGACAGCUAGGAGGUUGGCUUAGAAGCAGCCACCCUUUAAAGAAAGCGUAAUAGCUCACUAGUCGAGUCGGCCUGCGCGGAAGAUGUAACGGGGCUAAAAACUGUAUACCGAAGCUGCGGAUGCGCGAUUUAUGCGCGUGGUAGGGGAGCGUUCUGUAAGUCUGCGAAGGUGGGUUGAGAAGCCUGCUGGAGAUAUCAGAAGUGCGAAUG
rnacentral:rRNA from 1 species